rnacentral:rRNA from 1 species
CUACAUAUCAAACUUAAACUGAAGUGUUUGAUCAUGGCUCAGAUUGAACGCUGGCGGCAGGCCUAAUACAUGCAAGUCGGGCGGAAACGAUGGAGCUUGCUCCAGGCGUCGAGCGGCGGACGGGUGAGUAACGCGUAGGAAUCUGCCCAGUAGAGGGGGAUAGCCCGGGGAAACUCGGAUUAAUACCGCAUACGCCCUACGGGGGAAAGCAGGGGAUCUUCGGACCUUGCGCUAUUGGAUGAGCCUGCGUUGGAUUAGCUUGUUGGUGGGGUAAAGGCCUACCAAGGCGACGAUCCAUAGCUGGUCUGAGAGGAUGAUCAGCCACACUGGGACUGAGACACGGCCCAGACUCCUACGGGAGGCAGCAGUAGGGAAUAUUGGACAAUGGGGGCAACCCUGAUCCAGCCAUGC